CCCGAAGGACCAUAAACUAACCCAUGACUGAUAUCUGUACCUUAUACUGCAUAAAAUACUUUAUAAUGCGGAAACAUGGAUUGAAAGGCCAUAAGGUUCAAUACUGAACUUGGUCUGAAUAAUAUAAUAUCUAUGUGGGGUAAUAGAAUACCCAAAACAAAACUAAACAUACUGAAGUCUGAAACAUGAUAGUCUAAAAAGCCUCUAACUGAC
rnacentral:lncRNA from 1 species